rnacentral:rRNA from 1 species
UACAGAGGGUGCGAGCGUUGUCCGGAAUCACUGGGCGUAAAGGGCGCGUAGGCGGUCUUGUAAGUCGGGGGUGAAAUGCUGCGGCUCAACCGCAGCGCUGCCUUCGAGACUGCAAGACUGGAGCACGGUAGAGGCGGAUGGAAUUCCCGGUGUAGCGGUGGAAUGCGUAGAGAUCGGGAAGAACACCAAUGGCGAAGGCAGUCCGCUGGGCCGUUGCUGACGCUGAGGCGCGAACAG